rnacentral:lncRNA from 1 species
AUGUGGCCCCAGGCCAAGAUGACUCUCCCAGGCCAAGGCAGCCAAGAUGAGGAGAGGCCCCCGGCCGUGCCCCGCUGCGCUGGCACUGCAGGCAGGGUGGGCCAGGUGCACCCCAGCCCCACCCGACCCUCAGCUCCUCCAUUCGCAUCUCUGCAGAAAACCACUGUGGGGUGGGGGGAGGGGGAGAGCAGUUCCCCUCUCUGUCCCGCUCCAGGGCCCCUUGGUCCCUGGCCACGCACCCUGCGGGCCACGCACCCCACACGUGGCUCACUCACCCUGCGGACAACACACCCCACACGUGGCUCACUCACCCUGCAGGACACUCACCCCACACGUGACACACUCACCCUGCAGGCCACGCACCCCAUACGUGACACACUCACCCUGCGGACAACACACCCCACACGUGGCACACUCACCCUGCAGGACACUCACCCCACACGUGGCACACUCACCCUGCAGGACACUCACCCCACACGUGGCACACUCACCCUACGGACAACACACCCCCACACGUGGCUCACCCACCCCUGCGGGCCACGCACCCCACACGUGGCACACUCACCCUGCGGACCACGCACCCCACACGUGGCACACACCCUGUGGACAACACACCCCACACGUGGCUCACUCACCCUGUGGACAACACACCCCACACGUGGCUCACUCACCCUGCAGGACACUCACCUCACACAUUGCACACUCACCCUGUGGGCCACACACCCCACAUGUGGCACACUCACCCUGCCACUCCCUGAGAUGCCUUCUAGGCCCAAAGUCGCGGGACCAGACAGAGCUGGGAUUCCAGCCAGGUCUGCUCGACCCACAGCCCAGAGGUCAGCAGGAAAGCCCGCUGUGGUCAGGGGUCAGGUGCCGCACAGUAGUGGUCAGAGAAGCCGAGGCGUUCGCAGGCUGUGGGCAGCCCAGACGCCAGCUGGGGCUCCGGGCCCGAGGCGGACCUGCAGAAGCCACCUCCCCACCUUCCUGCCCCCCCAUCCCUGCCCCCAUGGCCACCCCCACUUCAAGCCAGAUCAUCUGGCUCUGAGGCCCUUGCCUGGUAGCCCGCCGCCCCUGACGUCCGCUGGCUCACGCCUCAGCCCAGGAGACUGCCAGAGUGGGCCAGGUACUGGUCAGGACCCCCCUGCUCCCCGGAAGGCACAGUGCCGACAUAGUCUCCCAGCCUCAGCUUGGCCCUCAGAAGACCCUGCAGGGGCCCACGCCUGUCAGAGCCAGGACUGGGAGGUCCCGGGCCCAGUCCUGUCUGCCCCACCCCGGAAAUGA